rnacentral:rRNA from 1 species
GACGAACGCUGGCGGCGUGCUUAACACAUGCAAGUCGAACGAGGCCCCUCCUUCGGGAGGGUGUCCUAGUGGCGAACGGGUGAGUAACACGUGGGCAACCUGCCCCCGGCUCUGGGAUAACCCCAAGAAAUUGGGGCUAAUACCGGAUAUGACCGCUGACCGCAUGGUCUGGUGGUGGAAAGUUUUUCGGCUGGGGAUGGGCCCGCGGCCUAUCAGCUUGUUGGUGGGGUAGUGGCCUACCAAGGCGACGACGGGUAGCCGGCCUGAGAGGGUGACCGGCCACACUGGGACUGAGACACGGCCCAGACUCCUACGGGAGGCAGCAGUGGGGAAUAUUGCGCAAUGGGCGGAAGCCUGACGCAGCGACGCCGCGUGGGGGAUGACGGCCUUCGGGUUGUAAACCUCAUUCAGCAGGGACGAAGCGAAAGUGACGGUACCUGCAGAAGAAGCACCGGCCAACUACGUGCCAGCCGCCGCCGUAAAAC